UCACGGUUUGCACCGGCAGUCUUGCUAGAGUCCCCGCCACUACGCGAUGGUAACUAACAAUAGGGGUUGCGCUCGUUAUAGGACUUAACCUGACACCUCACGGCACGAGCUGACGACAACCAUGCAGCACCUUGUAAAUUGUCCGAAGAAAAAUCUGUUUCCAAAUCUGUCAAUCUACAUUUAAGCCCUGGUAAGGUUCCUCGCGUAUCAUCGAAUUAAACCACAUGCUCCACCGCUUGUGCGGGCCCCCGUCAAUUCCUUUGAGUUUCAUUCUUGCGAACGUACUCCCCAGGUGGGAUACUUAUCACUUUCGCUUAGCCACUCAGUCCGAAAACCGAACAGCUAGUAUCCAUCGUUUACGGCGUGGACUAC
rnacentral:misc_RNA from 1 species